rnacentral:lncRNA from 1 species
UGGGACACACUGAACUUAGAUGAAACAAUUGCCACAACAUAAAAUUGGCAAUAGCUCAAACUGCAUAUGCCAAUCUCUGUUAUUGAACCAAAAAAGAAAAAAAAAAAGGGAUGGAAUAAUCAAAGUUUCUUGUUAAAAUGAGAUCUGCAUUUUGCUGUGAGAAACUGGGAUUUGACAGCAACAAUAACCACAAAAUAAAAUUCAUAGUGACAGAAGCUAUAAUUAAUAAAAUAGGAUAUAAUGGAAUGAAUCAGUGAAUCAAAUCUACAUAUGAUUGAUGUUUUCAUUGAGAAGAACAUAAAAGUGAAAAUAGGGAAAUUAAGCACCAUUUACCUAUAGUGCAAUAAUGAUUUAAAUAUCUGCAUCCAUAAGUAUGUCCUUGGGGUAGGUAGGGUCAGAACAUCUGAGGAAUCAAAGGGCAACACCUGAAGGGUCAAAAAAGAAUCCCACUUAGCUCAGCAUAGUGGUUUGUAUGAAAUAUUUGAUAGCACAUAUCUCUAGAAGCUAAGACAAUCCUGGCUUGCAUGCACCAUUUUACCUCCUCACGAGAUAGAUGGUCAUGCAGCUCUUAAUUUAAUUACCUUUUGCUAGAAAGGAUGACCUGUCUUUUCUGAAAGUAUCAAGGUCUUUUUCAGUGCUGUGAGUACCAAGAGGACAGAAUGUGAACACAACGUGAACACAGGCCCUGCUGUGUGCUCCAAUUCCCAGAGUGUGUUGGCCAAGCCAUGCCUCCUGGGCCCUUGGCUCUAGGAUCCAAAGGAAGUAGCGUCAACAACUGGUGCUAAAAAUUACCUGAAUCUCAUAAAUACACAAUUGGCCCAUAAAACUUUCUUCCAGAAAACACCUCUUUUGAAUGUCCUUUUGUGACUCUAAGUAGUCAUGUGCCAUUCAUUGACUAAAUAGUAUGCCGGAUGCUUAGAUAUGAUUCAUGCCUCCCAAGAAAGCAAGACAUGGUCAUUCACUCAAAUAGAGUACAUUGUGCUAAGUUUAAUAAUAGACUCUACCUAGUAUGCAGAGGCUGUGGUAAUCAGCUUUUCCAGGUACUUGUCAGAAGCGGUGAUAUUUCAGCAAAAUUGCCAAAAGGAUAAAUGCAUCCGGUUGGAUGACUAGCAUGGACAGCAUGAGGGAAGGGGCUUCAGGCUGAGGGGUGGUGGCAGAUGGAGACCAAGGUGUGGAGAUGAGAGCUUGCAGGAAUUAUGGUGGUGACCAUGGCCUCUUCUUCCCAGAUCACAGUGAGAUCAUAUGACCCCAUCCAGCCCCGAGGCCCAGGCAUGAGUGCUCUCCCCAGCUGGGGACCCACUGCUUCCCUUAGGGCUGAUGGGUGUUCUGAGAUGUUGCAGAGCUCUCUUAAUAGAUUCUGAGGGUUGUGAGUGACUCGGGGUUUGACCUUGAGGAAUAGGUGGUCAUAGAUCACAUUCACUUCAUGACCGUCAGAUAGCUUGACAGCUGGUAGUAACGAAUUGAGGCUCAGGAAGGCAUGGCCUUCACUCGGACCUCAGGCUGGUGGUCUUCAAUUUGCGGUAUAUACCUCGGUGGAGGUAUGUGCUUUUCAAGAAGUGUGCAGGCAGGGAUAGUUCUAGAGGAGUCAGUGCUAGCACCGCAAUUUCUAUAUAUGCGUUUAGCUAGCAUUGAUCUUUCCAGCUGCUUUUCUGCUGGCAAAGACUCUCCUCCCUUUCCUAUCUCUCCUAUCAUAACCUCCUUCCCCUGCCCACCCCCUUGUCUUUUGAGGACCACACCCAUGGCAUGUGGAAGUUCCCAGGCUAAGAGUCAAAUCAGAGAUGUAGCUGCUGGUCUACACCACAGCCACAGCACCGUGGGAUCCAAUCUGUGUCUGAGACUUAUACCACAGCUCACGAAAAUGCCAGACCCUUAACCCACUGAGUGAGGCCAGGGAUCAAACUUGCAUCCUCAUGGAUACUAGUCAGAUUGUUACCAAAGAGCCACCAUGGGAACUCCCCCUGCCCUCUUUUAAACACUUAUUCCUUUAUGGUUUCAGGAAACCAAAUCAACUAAAAAAUUACACACACACACACACACACACACACACACACACUUGACAUUAUUUGGUGGUCAAUAAAGGACUCGGUGUAGCAUAAUAAUUUAAUACAUUGGGAUAAAAUUCUGAGAGAGAGAUGAAAUAGAAACAAACAGGAGUUUAAGAAGAUUU